GACGAACGCUGGCGGCGUGCUUAACACAUGCAAGUCGAGCGGUAAGGCCCUUCGGGGUACACGAGCGGCGAACGGGUGAGUAACACGUGGGUGACCUGCCCUCAGCUCUGGGAUAAGCCUGGGAAACCGGGUCUAAUACCGGAUAUGACUGACUGUCGCAUGGCGGUUGGGGGAAAGUUUUUUCGGCUGGGGAUGGGCCCGCGGCCUAUCAGCUUGUUGGUGGGGUGAUGGCCUACCAAGGCGGUGACGGGUAGCCGGCCUGAGAGGGCGACCGGCCACACUGGGACUGAGACACGGCCCAGACUCCUACGGGAGGCAGCAGUGGGGAAUAUUGCGCAAUGGGCGGAAGCCUGACGCAGCGACGCCGCGUGGGGGAUGACGGCCUUCGGGUUGUAACCCUCUUUCGCCGGGGACGAAGCUUUUGUGACGGUACCUGGAGAAGAAGCACCGGCCAACUACGUGCCAGCAGCCGCCGUAAAAC
rnacentral:rRNA from 1 species